AUUGAACGCUGGCGGCAGGCCUAACACAUGCAAGUCGAACGGUAACAGGAAGAAGCUUGCUUCUUUGCUGACGAGUGGCGGACGGGUGAGUAAUGUCUGGGAAACUGCCUGAUGGAGGGGGAUAACUACUGGAAACGGUAGCUAAUACCGCAUAACGUCGCAAGACCAAAGAGGGGGACCUUCGGGCCUCUUGCCAUCGGAUGUGCCCAGAUGGGAUUAGCUAGUAGGUGGGGUAACGGCUCACCUAGGCGACGAUCCCUAGCUGGUCUGAGAGGAUGACCAGCCACACUGGAACUGAGACACGGUCCAGACUCCUACGGGAGGCAGCCGUGGGGAAUAUUGCACAAUGGGCGCAAGCCUGAUGCAGCCAUGCCGCGUGUAUGAAGAAGGCCUUCGGGUUGUAAAGUACUUUCAGCGGGGAGGAAGGGAGUAAAGUUAAUACCUUUACUCAUUGACGUUACCCGCAGAAGAAGCACCGGCUAACUCCGUG
rnacentral:rRNA from 1 species